rnacentral:tRNA from 1 species
GGGCGGGUGGCGAAACUGGUAGACGCAUCAGACUCAAAAUCUGACGCCGCAAGGUAUGGGAGUUCGAUUCUCCCCCUGCCCA